rnacentral:tmRNA from 1 species
GGGGGUGACAGGGCUCGACUUAAGUGGAUUGAUUAAGAGCAGCAUGCCGAGGUUGUCGGGAGGCCUCGUUAAACACCUGGCAAAAACAUAAAUGCUGAAACAAAAGUUCCAGCCAGCAUUGAUGCGCUUCUCGCAAGGAUUGGUGAUGGGAUUUCCCAUCCCAGCUUUGCAGGGGCGCUUCCAAUGCCCAGUGUUGCUUUAAGAUAAAGCAACCCGUUUGUUUAUUCCUGCCUGGGGGGUAGAUAAACGUCAUUUACAGGAUCGUUCCGCCUGUUUGCUUUUGGCAUGCGGGAUUAAACGUUCAAAAGCUGCCUUUUCGCGUAUCCUGUCUGCCGGAGACGCGGAAAGAAAGCCCUAAAAAACAGACUAAGCAUGUAGAUACUGUUAUUGGUUGCUUAAGGACGCGGGUUCAAUUCCCGCCACCUCCACCA